UCCAGCAAAAGGUAAACCUGUUGAAAAGCAGGGGCACAAAGUCUCGGGUCUAAGGUUAUUAAGGGAAACAGACGGGGGGAAGAAGCUUCCGUGCGUGUUAUCCUCGUAACUAUGACGGCUGGACUGCCUGG
rnacentral:ncRNA from 1 species